GUGUAGGGUAGGCUUAAACAAGGAAAAUAAAAAUCAAACUAUGUGUGGCAUUUUGGGAGGGGUAGAAGAAAUGGUAGAAUGAAUGGAUGCUCAGAAGCAACAAGAAAUAAUAACAAAUAAAACUCACAAGAUUUUUCACUUUUUUUUAUAUACUUCGAAAUUUUUUUUUGAAUUUUUUUUCAAUCAAUUUUUUUUUCGAUUUUUUUUUGAAUUUCCUCUUCUUCUUUUUUUGAUUUCUUUUUUUCAAUUACAAUAUGCUGAAAUACAAAGGGAAGAGAAA
rnacentral:lncRNA from 1 species